UCCAGACUCCUACGGGAGGCAGCAGUGAGGAAUAUUGGUCAAUGGUCGGGGGACUGAACCAGCCAAGCCGCGUGAGGGAGGAAGGUACAGAGUAUCGUAAACCUCUUUUGUCAGGGAACAAAGACUGGGACGCGUCCCCGGAUGAGUGUACCUGAAGAAAAAGCAUCGGCUAACUCCGUGCCAGCAGCCGCGGUAAUACGGAGGAUGCGAGCGUUAUCCGGAUUUAUUGGGUUUAAAGGGAGCGUAGGCCGGUCUUUAAGCGUGCCGUGAAAUUUUGUGGCUCAACCAUGAGAGUGCGGCGCGAACUGGAGACCUUGAGUGCGCGGAAGGCAGGCGGAAUUCGUGGUGUAGCGGUGAAGUGCUUAGAUAUCACGAAGAACUCCGAUUGCGAAGGCAGCUUACUAAACUGCCACUGACAUUGAUGCUCGAAAGUGUGGGUAUCAAACAGGAUUAGAUACCCGAGUA
rnacentral:rRNA from 1 species